rnacentral:rRNA from 1 species
AUGAACGCUGGCGGCGCGCCUAACACAUGCAAGUCGAACGGCACCCCUCCUCGGAGGGAAGCGAGUGGCGAACGGCUGAGUAACACGUGGAGAACCUGCCCCCUCCCCCGGGAUAGCCGCCCGAAAGGACGGGUAAUACCGGAUACCCCGGGGUGCCGCAUGGCACCCCGGCUAAAGCCCCGACGGGAGGGGAUGGCUCCGCGGCCCAUCAGGUAGACGGCGGGGUGACGGCCCACCGUGCCGACAACGGGUAGCCGGGUUGAGAGACCGACCGGCCAGAUUGGGACUGAGACACGGCCCAGACUCCUACGGGAGGCAGCAGUGGGGAAUCUUGCGCAAUGGGGGGAACCCUGACGCAGCGACGCCGCGUGCGGGACGGAGGCCUUCGGGUCGUAAACCGCUUUCAGCAGGGAAGAGUCAAGACUGUACCUGCAGAAGAAGCCCCGGCUAACUACGUGCCAGCAGCCGCGGUAAUACGUAGGGGGCGAGCGUUAUCCGGAUUCAUUGGGCGUAAAGCGCGCGUAGGCGGCCCGGCAGGCCGGGGGUCGAAGCGGGGGGCUCAACCCCCCGAAGCCCCCGGAACCUCCGCGGCUUGGGUCCGGUAGGGGAGGGUGGAACACCCGGUGUAGCGGUGGAAUGCGCAGAUAUCGGGUGGAACACCGGUGGCGAAGGCGGCCCUCUGGGCCGAGACCGACGCUGAGGCGCGAAAGCUGGGGGAGCGAACAGGAUUAGAUACCCUGGUAGUCCCAGCCGUAAACGAUGGACGCUAGGUGUGGGGGGACGAUCCCCCCGUGCCGCAGCCAACGCAUUAAGCGUCCCGCCUGGGGAGUACGGCCGCAAGGCUAAAACUCAAAGGAAUUGACGGGGGCC